GGGAAAGACACUGCUGGGGGGAAAGGCAAUGCUCGUGCUCUGCCACUAUCACUUGAGGAGCAUUUUCCUAGUGCUCCUUCCAUAUCACUGCCGGCACUUGAAGUCCAGCCCUGCCUCAUCCUUGCUGUUGGAUCUCAGCUCAGAGUUGCUCCAGCAUCACCUCUUGAACAUCAGCAGUGUCCUGGAGAGCCAGAAACAAGCCAUGGUGGAGCUGGGGAACAACAAAAACAUGGGGCAAAGGGAAAAAGUUGCAAGCUAGAAAUCCCUUUUUCUCCUACAAACAAAAAUCAGGAGCACUUUACUACUCAUUCUCACAUCCAUCACCCAGGGAUGCCUGUUCAGCUCCUUGGGCUUAGCUGUACCUGCCCUCCUCAGGACUCAGAUCCACCUCCUGCAAUCAUGGGAUCAGCUAAAUCACCAUCCUUCAGAACAUCUCAUCCCCUCAGCCCAACCUUAACUGCCUUAAAAUCUGUUGUCCUUCCCCAAACUUCCUCCUUCAGGACACUGGACCAAAGAGGGUUUUCACUGGAGUUUGCUAAGGCAAGGGUGUUGCAGGGAAGCCAGCCACCUUGCACGUAGUCCCUGCACAGGUCAGAGCCAACAGCAGCCAUUCAGGUGUGCUAAAAGGAGACCAGCAUUGAACAUGUCUCUCUUCACUCUGCAGUACCUGGACCCACACUGAGUCCUGCUCAAAAUUGUACCUUGGCCAAGUGCUCCUCACUGCCGGGCCACCAUGGCCAGCAGCCUGGUCCUCUGCCUCUCGUGUGCCUCACCAGCACUACGUCCACAGUUUGGGUGCCACCCCAGUCCAGAUGGGCUAUGGGAACAUGUCACACAUGGGGCAGGUCAGGUGGUAACGGAGAGAAGCUACUUAGAGCACAACUUUCUUGCUCCCACAUGAAAGCAUUUCCUGGUAUUCACCAGUGUCCUGUAGCGCUUACUGUCACCUUCCUCCAGGGCCACCUUCAUCAUCUUUUAGAGAUCGUUUUGGGGGGAAAAGAGCCAAAACAUGAGGGUCUUGCAGGGUCCCACACUAAUGCAGACUGACCUCCUGGCCUCAGCACUCCACCAUGGAGCCAACAGCCCCUUCCCACUCAAAACCAGAACUCAGGAGCCACCAGUGGGACCAGAUGGACUAAAGUUCUGACAUGAGAGAUAGCAGGGACACCUCACAGUUCAAGAGGGAACCCGCAGUCCUCUGAAAACUGCUGCUGGCUCCCUUGCCAUGAGCCUCAAAAGGCUGCCGGGAGGUGCCUGGGUUAACAGGGCUGCUCCACAGAGAUCCACCCGCUCAGCCUGGGGUCACAGCCGAUCUGUGUCGCAACGUCUGAGUCAUUUGUUUCCUCCCAGUCACUGAAAAUUGCCUUUAAGUUUGCACAGAUGGUGCUUAAUCCCCGUUUGGACAAUGGGCGUUUGGGUUUUUAAACGGCAAUUACUAAAUGAAAGCAGGGGGAGGAAGGGGAGAUGGUGAGGGGUGGGAGAGGGCACAGGCAGGACUGCAGGAUGGAGGCCAGUGGUGCAGCAAGCCAGGCAGUGCUUAGCAUCCAGCAGGGAUGCAGGAUGGACAUGCACCCUAGUUUAGCCCACAGAGGCUCAAAGCAAGUCAAUGCUAAAUCUGAGAGGGAUGAGGACCAGGGGACUGUGUCCCCUGGAUAAAGACUAGUGGACCAUGUCUACCACAGAGACCUUAGCCUGCCUGGGGCUUUCUGUCCUUGACCUGGUCUAGACCGCUCUCCCUGCACAUCACCCUGGGGGUGCCAUGGGUCAACAGCAUGGUCAUUGCUGCAUGAAAGACAGUGGUAGGGUGGGUGGUUCCUUCCCAAGGCCAGGAAAGCAUCUGGCAGGUCCUCCUCCCACCCUGGAUCCCACCGACCUCUGGGAAAGAACAUCCUCCCACUACAGAUGGAUAGCUGAUGCUAUGGUGAAUUUGGUCUCC
rnacentral:lncRNA from 1 species